AAAGAGAAAUAGAGAGACAGAGAGAAAGACAGAGAAAACCCCAAAUAGGAUCACAAGGAGUUGGACAACUUCCAGGAUAGCAGAGUAAGCAGCAAAUUUUCUAGGGCUACCCGAUGAGGAAACUGAGGCAGAAGUUAAAUAACAACUAUGGUCACACAGCUAUGAAUGUCUGAGGCUACACUUAAACUCAUCUCCCUAUAUCUACUACCUUAUCUACUACCUGGCUGCGUCUGUAUGGAGAGAAAGUGGAAUCAAAAAAGACACCUAGAUUGUGAGCCUAGGUGACUUGGAUGGCAUCUUCAACAGCAAUAGUUUCUCCCGAAAAGAAAGACCCAUUUUUUCACAUCAGUUUUCUUCUAGAGAUGUUCUAAGUCUAUAAAUCAUGCAAUACUAUGGUCCCCAAAGAAUUAUUGUGCAAGACAUCCAACAUGCAAGGGAAAGGUGUGUCUAUUGUUGGGAAUUAACUGCAUGUUACUGUCUACCAAGAAUUAUUCAAGAAAAUCAACAUAAAAAGUUAUCAUUAGAGAGGUGUGUAGCUAGAAAUGGAGGUGAGCUGGUCAUGUAGCGAGGGAGAGGGAUAUCUAGUAGACCACCCAAGUGUUACAUUUGUAUCCAUGAAAUGUCAAGAUAUCCAGAUACUGCUGAAUGUUGGGUGGACUCCAGGGGGAGGAUGUAAUGGAAGAAGUAGAGGAAAGUGCAUAGGGUGAGAAGCAUAGAUGGGCUGUGAGCUGUACUUUUGGAAGCACUCACAUUGAUGAGUUUAUACAUUCAUCAAAACAUUGAAGUUUUAUUAGUUUUAACAACUAAAUUAUGAAAUUUUUAUAAACCUAAAUGCCGUUCCAUUAGCAAAUGCAGAACUUUACCAUAAUUCUUAUGUAAAGCUAUCUCAGAUAUAUUUCAGUAAGUUCAUUUGUUCGGUAAUAAUUUGUUAAACAUUUGUUAUAUUUAUGGCAUUGUGAAGGUACGAAUUUAUUCAAAAUUUUCUUCAUGUUAAAUAAUUUACAUAUCUUCAGAACUGGUAUAUUUCAGAGAUCCAACAUAGCUACAGGUAGCUUAUCUGUCUCCUCUUCUGAUAACAGGACAUUAGGCAAUAUUUAUGUUUAGGGAGGCAUGGGAAUGAUAUUGGAAUCCAUAUAGAGCAGAACUAAGAGAUAUCCCUUAACUAUAUGUUGUGGGUUUUCAACAACAUCCAAUAAUUAUUUUAUGGUGUUCUGACCCAGAACUUUACUUGUUUUUAGCUGUGCUAUCAUAUGGACUCUUUUAAAAGUAUUUCCUGUUAUGAGGAGUUACCAGUUUACUUUAGAUUGAAGGUCAAACUUUCCGGAUCUGCUUUGACUUGAAAGUAAUAACCAUUUACAAGUGAGCAUAUUACUUUAAAAUAUGUUCCCUACCUUUGUAACUAAGAGCUACUGGGCUGUAAACUGCUUGCAUUUUUGUUUUUCUUCCCGGGUUAUUUUUACCUUCUGAAUCCAAUUCUCCCUGUG